rnacentral:rRNA from 1 species
CGCGCAGGCGGCAUCGCAAGUCGGUCUUAAAAAGUUCGGGGCUCAACCCCGUGAUGGGAUGGAAACUAUAUUUCUUGAGUGCAGGAGAGGAAAGUGGAAUUCCUAGUGUAGCGGUGAAAUGCGUAGAUAUUAGGAGGAACACCAGUGGCGAAGGCGACUUUCUGGACUGUAACUGACACUGAGGCUCGAAAGCCAGGUAGUGAACG